CACAUUUGACUGUUGGACUGAGAGUAAGUCUAGAUGAAAACUGACAGAUGAAUGCACCAUCAGACACUGUCUCAUGAACGACUUCAUCUAGAUACUUAUUGCCGUGAAGGUUGGCUGCGACUCUGUAAUCCCUCCCCAAGAAGAGCAACAGCUGAUCCUCAUCACGACCCUGUGUUUGGUGUGUGGAUUCUUGCAUUAGUGACAUGACAUUUAUUUGCUUGGUGAGCCUUUUACCUGCAAGGUUAACAAGUUUGACUCACAUCUUGGAAACAUUCCAACUUGAAACACUGGGAGUGGUGCUUCUCUGACUCCCUGCGCACCCAGAGAGGAGGUCCCAGUUCUGUGGAGAUCUGGACUCAGGAGGUCUGGGCUGGGGUCCUUUCUCACAAACGAGCUGGUCACACUGAUGCUGCUCAGCUGUGGGUCACGUUUGCAGGAGCAAAGAAUUGUCCACAGGAACUCGAAGAUGAGGAUAUGCUUGCUCAUUCAUUUAUGUUCCGAUUCAACAAUAAUGAAGAAGUGCCUAAAACAUCCUCAGCACUGCAGUGAUGACUGUGAGAAGGCUGACACCCUUAAGUGUGCAGGGAGGCCAAGAGGACACAGUUGCAAGCAAACAAUUGUUUGAAGAUAAUACAUAAAAACGUGUGUGCUUUGAGUGUAUCUUUUCUUAAAUCAAAUGAGAGCCUCCUAGGCUUAAAUUUGGUGUCAAGUCUGAAAAUGCAGUUUCUAAUAAAAAAUGUAUGUCUA
rnacentral:lncRNA from 1 species